rnacentral:tRNA from 1 species
AGGGCGUUAGUCCAAAAAAAGACCUCUGAUUUCGGCUCAGAAGAUCGUGGUGUGAGUCCACGACCCCCUU